GGGAGUAGUUUAGAGGGGAUUAACAAAGGGUAGGAUGGUCCACACUGUACACAUUUUUAGAAAAAGAAACAUGAGGAUGCUGUGCGCUUGGAUAAAUGUUGUGGACUUCACGGAAUUUUAUAGCCUAGCUUACUUCAAUGAUAGUGCUGAAGUCAACUAUUGUUGUAAGUUGAAUUGUUGAAAGUGGCAACUUAACUUCCAUUGCCUUCUUACUUCAUAGCGAAAGAAGAACCAUAAAGUUUGAAAGAACUCAUACCUGCUACGGAGCCCGAAAGGGGGUUGUAGAUACUGCUAAACUCAUGUCUUACAAGAACCAUGUGACAUGCACACUUAAUGGUGGAGCAACA
rnacentral:lncRNA from 1 species